rnacentral:SRP_RNA from 1 species
GUAGAGCCUCCGCGUGGCACUACGUCACCCAAUCCCCCCAGGGCAGGAAUGCAGCAAGGGUAAGUGGCCUCUGGUGGGUGCGCGGGGGUUUUCUGUAAUA